rnacentral:rRNA from 1 species
UACAGAGGUCCCAAGCGUUGUUCGGAAUCACUGGGCGUAAAGGGAGUCUAGGCGGUUUGGUAAGUGGGAUGUGAAAUCCCCGGGCUCACCCCGGGACCUGCAUCCCAAACUGCUGAGCUUGAGUACAGGAGAGGGUGGGGGAAUUCCAGGUGUAGCGGUGAAAUGCGUAGAUAUCUGGAGGAACACCGGUGGCGAAGGCGGCAUCCUGGACCAUUACUGACACUGAAAAGCGAAAGCCAGGGGAGCAAACGGG